rnacentral:rRNA from 1 species
CAAUAGCGUAUAUUAAAGUUGUUGCGGUUAAAAAGUUCGUAGUUGGAUUUCUGUGAAGGAUAACCGGUCCGCACUAUGUGCGUGUAUCUGUUUGUCCUUUGCAUCCUCGCGGAAUACGUCACUGUGCUUCACUGCAUGGGGCGGGCUUCGCGACUUUUACUUUGAGGAAAUUAGAGUGUUCACGGCAGGCUAACGCCAUGAAUAUAUUAGCAUGGAAUAAUAAUAUAGGACCUUGGUUCUAUUUUGUUGGUUUCUAGGGCUAAGGUAAUGAUUAAUAGGGACAAUUGGGGGCAUUCGUAUUAACGCGUCAGAGGUGGAAUUCUUGGAUUGCGUUACGACGAACUACUGCGAAAGCAUUUGCCAAGGAUGUUUNCAUUGA